rnacentral:rRNA from 1 species
GAUGAACGCUGGCGGCGUGCCUAAUACAUGCAAGUCGAGCGAACGGACGAGAAGCUUGCUUUUCUGAUGUUAGCGGCGGACGGGUGAGUAACACGUGGAUAACCUACCUAUAAGACUGGGAUAACUUCGGGAAACCGGAGCUAAUACCGGAUAAUAUUUUGAACCGCAUGGUUCAAAAGUGAAAGACGGUCUUGCUGUCACUUAUAGAUGGAUCCGCGCUGCAUUAGCUAGUUGGUAAGGUAACGGCUUACCAAGGCAACGAUGCAUAGCCGACCUGAGAGGGUGAUCGGCCACGCUGGAACUGAGACACGGUCCAGACUCCUACGGGAGGCAGCAGUAGGGAAUCUUCCGCAAUGGGCGAAAGCCUGACGGAGCAACGCCGCGUGAGUGACGAAGGUCUUCGGAUCGUAAAACUCUGUUAUUAGGGAAGAACAUAUGUGUAAGUAACUGUGCACAUCUUGACGGUACCUAAUCAGAAAGCCACGGCUAACUACGUG